rnacentral:rRNA from 1 species
AUUGAACGCUAGCGGGAUGCUUUACACAUGCAAGUCGAACGAGUGGCGGACGGGUGAGUAAUAUAUCGGAACGUGCCCAGUAGCGGGGGAUAACUACUCGAAAGGGUGGCUAAUACCGCAUACCAUCGGAGCGGCCCAUAUCGGAUUAGCUAGUUGGUGGGGUAAAGGCUCACCAAGGCAACGAUCCGUAGCUGGUUUGAGAGGACGACCAGCCACACUGGGACUGAGACACGGCCCAGACUCCUACGGGAGGCAGCAGUGGGGAAUUUUGAACAAUGGGGGAAACCCUGAUGCAGCCAUGCCGCGUGUAUGAGAAGGCCUUCGGGUUGUAAAGUACUUUUGGCAGAGAGGCGGUAUCUGCAGAAGAAGCACCGGCUAACUACGUGCCAGCAGCCGCGGUAAUUC